AAAGGAUUCUGGGAGAGUGCCAGUUGGAAGAUUCUCUUGGGAAGAUGUGACAACAUGCACACAUGGUACUGGAGCACAUAUAUUCCUGGAUCAAGAAGCGAAGGGCCUGAAUUACCAACUACACAACCAAUGUGGUGGCCAGUGGUACAGCUGGCUACUGUCAAGUAACCCAUGUCGCAGAUGGAGGUGGAUGCAUGGGGCUCCCACAGGGCAGGCAGGGGAGAAGCAUUUAACAAGAAGCGACAUGCAUGCCACUUCCCUCAAUCAGCCUCGAAUCUCUGUAUCAUCAGGUGGCUCCAGUCAGUCUGUAAAGAACUUCAUUCCUCUGCUCCCUCUAAAUCUCCCUUGAGGAUUGAAAGGAAAAUGUCAUCAUCAGGAGGAACAGAAACAGCUCCAUGGUCACCUGUGUUAUGGAAAGCACCUGAGUGGUUCUUUGUACGUGUUGAUGGAAUAGCACCAACAUAUCAGUAGGUGACUCCCCUCUCUCUAGAAUGGCUUUAUUUGAAACAAGGUCUCACUAUGUAAUGCAGACAGGCUAGAAGUCAUGCUACUUUCCUGCCUCCAUGCCAAGUAGCAGGACUUCUGAUGUAAGCCCGCAUACCCAUAAAACAUUUGCUUUUGUCUUCUGGAUGAGUUACCUAAUUACCUUGAGCCUCAGUGAAAAGGAAACAAAAGAUAUUAGCAACAUUUUACUUAAAACUUCAGGGACCCCAGGACAUAUGUUUCUUCCUCAUUGGUGAAUUUCCUCAUGCCAUGUACCUGAGACACUGUUUAAAUUUGAUAUUUAACUCAGACUAGAACAUAUGUACAUAAAGUUUAUCCCAGUCAGACUAAACUCCCAGAGAAAAUCCUGAGGAGUCUGUGCUCAGGACAAUAAACAAUACCAAGAUGGGCAAGGUUUCCUAUCUUCUAUUUUCUCCUUCAGGUUGGCAACUUGCAGCUCUAAGGUCUCCCUAGAAACUUCACUCAGUACUCACAAUGUGAGUGCAAUUGUUCUCUGUGUGGUGCAAGUCAGGGAGAACUGGUUGCUGAGGAGAAAGUCCAUACACACUUGGGUAAAACAUUCCAUGUUCUCCAUCUCUUCCUACCUUAGAUACAGUCAUAUUAAACUUCCACUAGAACUCCAAACUCAACACUUCUCCAUGGCUUCACUGGCAAAGGCCCCACCACACAUUCCUUGAGGGAUCUGCCUCAAAACUGAGGAAACCUAUGGAGACUCAUGAAGAGAUACUAGGUUAUAGAAUCCCAUGUUUAUAGAUUUCCAUUUUUCUUGCUUUUUUAUAAGACACUUGAGUGUUUGGUCUACAUGUAGAUAUAGGUAUUCCGGAUGACACCUGAGGUCACCAGAGGUAAUUAGAUCUCCUAGAACUAGAGGACAGACCUUUGUCAGCCAAAAUAUGGGUGCUGAGAACUAAUAUGAUCCCCAAAUUGAGUGACAGUCUCUUUGGCACUAAGCCUUGUCUGGAGCUUUAUGCACUGUCUUUAAAGGAAGUGGUGCUCUGAGGAGCAUGGGAAGUCAGAAUGCUUUGUUUCCUCCUCUUCCUUAGAUCUAUGAACUUGUAUAAGUGAUGACCUGGCCCCUCAGCCUUGCCUUUUACUGAUAGAGUCAACUCACUUAAAACUCUGCAUACCUGGACCAUGUCAGUCUGGGUUUUGGCUUGUGUCUCUGUCUACAUGUAGUGCCAGCUGUGAUAUUAAAAGAUAAUAACCUUUGUGUUCACUUAGACCAGACAAGUAUGCUGCAGAGGAGAACACAAUAUGGAAGGAUGUAUUGGGAAAAAUUGAAAAAAAAUUGUGUUUCUGGGACAGGUGUGGACUGGAAUGUGAGCAUUGCAAAGAGGACACUUACAGAUUCACAUCCUGCACUGAUCAAUCUAGAGACAUCCAAGGGGCCAUGGUAAGAAAACUGUGCCCUAUAGUGAUGGAAUGAUCAUCAGUAUGGUUUCCAUGUAUGAUCCAUUUGCUGAGUGUGGACUUGAGGAAAAGGUUUAUGAUCUGUAUAUAUUGUUGUCGUACAUCUUGGCAAUCUACUAUUCUCAUCGCAGACUCACGUGGAGUUGGAAGUUUGAAGAAUUACUUCAAGUAAGAUGUAAAAUAAGAAGAGCUGUAAAUGUACUAGGAAAUGCUCCAUUGACUCCAACUGCACACUCUUGACCGUGGUCAGAGAUGAUCUGGAAUGGAAUGACUCAGUGCAGAGCAAGAUUUAGGCAGGAUGUUUCUAAGAGACAGAGAAGAGGAAGCCUCAGUGAUUGAGGUCCAUUUGCUUACAGGAAUCCAGCCUAAUGUAAGAAGCCACAGUUCUUCUUGUAUGAAGAAGAGCUUCUUCUCAUUUUGAGAAUAACUGUAAUCUCAGCCUCUUUUCUGGAAUGGAAUUAUGUUAGUCACGUGAUAAUCUUCUCCAACCUGCCAAGAGAUAACAAAUUCUGACAAUUCUUGGAGGUCUCAGACCCCCUCAUAACACUCAUGAACCCCAGUCCACACCAGGGUAUUAAUUUCAGUGUUUUUUUUCUCCCUUUGGUGUUUUAAGACCUUGGAUGCUCUUGUCCUUUGCUGAGGUACAGUAUAAAGGAACAGAUGUUGAGUAGAACCUGAGAUGUCCGUCUUGACACCUCCUGCACCUAUGCUCUUCCCUCUAUCAGCCUGCAGGUCUGCUUAGGAGUCCUGAGGUGGUGAGAUGAUUACAUUCCAAAGCUUACCAGGGUAGGUUCCCAGACCAGGACCCCAAAGCAACUGAAUACUCCAUUUCUUUUUACAACUUAUAACAAGACUUUCCCCUGCCUUAUGCCUGGCUGUCUGUCUCUCUGCUUUUCAGUCUGCAUUCUUUUCUUUAAGGCAAUAUAGCACUCUGACUGUGAAUCUGAUUUUAACUUUUAGGAAGCCUCCAGCCUCAGUAUGCCAGUGACUGGAAUUACUUGCACUAGCCCCAACUAGAAUGAAAAUUUCUAACUAUAGCAUUGACCCAAAUUAUUGAAUUUAAAGGAUUCUGAGAAGCAACCAAAUACAAAGUCAUCAAAUUCAAGGUGGACAGGCUUUGUCAUUCAUAGCUCCUUUUAGGGUCUCAUAAGUAUGGAUAGAUUUUCCCUGAGAGUCAUGGAAAGGCAAGGGGGAAGAAAGAGCCUCGAUAAGAAGUGUUUAUGUUUUUACCAGGCAUCCACACAACACCCUGCAUUUCUCAAUUCCUUUCUUGAUAUUCUUUCUUGCUGAGGUGAGGAUAAUCCUGAGGGAGGACCACCAGGUCCAGGCCACUCCUUGUCUUAACUGUAAUCCAAAAGAGAAAAAAGGCUGAGGUGACAUGGCCUGGUGUCUCUGAGCAGAACUCAGCCUGGCAGCAUGGGUGGGAAAUGCAAAGUCAUUGGGAUUCUCUCCUUCAGCCCCUUCCCAUAAUGGGCAGGUAGUUUUUUUCUCCAAACUCUGGAUCCUUGUGUCUGGGUCAUGUGGCCAUGUAUUUUAUUGUCAGCUUGAGAAGAUGGAGCAAUAUUUCUGGAUACAACUGUUACCUGAUUGUAAAAUUUCUCUGUAUGUGCACAGACUCAUUGGACAAAGUCCUCUCUUUACUCUGGUGAGCACCAUAAGUCUCCUGGAAGCUAAACAAUCAGAUAAAAGGAAAACUUUUGCUUUGUCUCUCCUGGCACAGACAUGGCUUCUCUGUUCUUAGUUCAUAUCUCCAGAUUUGUAGCUUCUAUACUCUGAGGUCUGGACUUGUGUUGUCCUAUGUACUCCUGAGUGUUGCUUUAAACCUAGACUCACCCAAGUGACUUUCAAGGUCUGUGACUUCCAGACAUAGAUUGAGCCAAACUAGGGCUAUUCGAUAGCACCCACCUAGAAGAAAGCCUGCUGGAAGAAUGUUCAAUCAUAAGGAGCAUUUUCCAAAGAGCUGAGAGGCUGUAUGAAACCCUGCCAUGUAUUAAGAGGUUGCAUAUAAGACAACUAUAUACACAGAGUCUUAUGCCAAGGUCAGACAGCCACAGUCUGUCAGCACUCAUGCAAUAUUGUAUGGCUAAGGGAGACCGUUUGUGGCCUUAGAAACUCAGGGCAAUCUCAGAAAUUUCUUUACACUUAGCUCGCAGAUACAUUGAGAAAUAUUGCUCUGUCUGUACAAGCCAACAACAAGACAGUCAAGUUGGCAAGACAAAAAUAGACAGUAUUCAUCACAUGCGAUUCUGACCAUAGGAAAAUAAGUGGAUUCAUGGAAGCAGAAACCUGAGGACAUGGCAGAGAUUCAAUAUUCUCCGUGGGGCUCAGUGCUCCAGACUUCAGACCCCUGGCCAGCACCUCUACCUUAUCUUACUGGUGAGCUUCAGUCUCACUCCUGUGUGGCUAACUCAGAUGUAGUGGAACCACUUCUAUACAAGGCUUGUCCAAGUCAGAAAUCUGUGGUGACUCAAACUUGAUACCAGUUUCUGCAGCCUCCUUAGCUGAUGCUGAUGUUGGGGGUGCUUCAUCACAGGCUUCCUUUCCUGAAGACACUACAGGUAGGCUGAAAUUUCUUGUUAAUGAAGAUGGCUGAGCUUCCUGCGAUGGUAAUGGUGGUGCAGGGCCCACUUCCCCACAUUUGUUUCUUUCAACAUAGAUUUGUAUAAAAAUAAAAUAAGACCAUUUAGAAAACCAUGCCCUAAGCAGGAUUUCCAUUAUGUCCUACCAGAAGGCUGCCUUCUGGGCUAGUUCCUUUUGUUUAUUUUUCUGCAGGAAGGCAAAAGGAUUUGAGUCAAUACUGCAACUCUUGGAAGAGAAGUCUUGUUAGUAUAGACAUGAACCAAGUGUAGUUCUGUUCAAGUCUGACAUUUCAGUCUAGGGACUGUAUUCCUUGUGUGGCAGAAAACCCCUACUUCCUCCUUACUCAUAUCUGUAUAUCUGUCUUCAGUAAAGCUGGGUCUCAGUUUUCCUAGUACCACAUUCCAUUGUGUGUGUGUGCAUGUGUGUGUGUCCACACACGUGUGCACACCGUGGUACUCAAGUGCAUGUAGAGCUCUUUCAUAGAAUCAUGCACUUCACUAAAGCAGCACAAGACAGUCCUAGGAACAGACAAAGUAGUUUACACUCAAUCUUGUCGCCUUGCUCCUCCUCACGGACCUUUUGCCACUUAACUUUUAUAUUCUUCCCUUGAUUCCUUAGAAUGUUCUUCUUCAGCUCCUCUGCCCUCUCAAAAACUUUUUAUAUAGUCUGCAAUACAAUACCAAAAUGGAGAAUCAGCACAGUUCUAAUGCCAGAAAAGAGACAAAGAAUACAAGUUGGGAGAGGCAGUAUUAUGUCGCGCAUGACUUGAACUUCAUUCCCUCCCAGUCCCUCCUCUGUACUGAACUCCUGAGGCAGCAUUUCCUCCCCUUCCACACACUGUCAGCAUCUGUGGCUUUUCUAUAUGCAGCCAUGAACUGCUCUGGAGAUGUUUGAUCAGGCACAUAGAGAAUAAAGAGCCACCUUGAUGACCUUUGCUCUUCUACCACUGACAGCAUACUUUCGAUAGUUCUGUUCCUUGGAUAGGUUUUCCACAUAGAGUCUAAAGGAAUAGAGCAGAGUAACAAGGCUAUGCAGAGAAAUUCAAAUGUCUAAAUGAGGCCUUGAGGAAAUUUGGCCUCUGUAUGCACGGUUUUAGAUGCUCCUGGAGUUUGAAAAGGCACACCCUGUAAUCCCACAUCCAAUACCAUUUCUGUACCUGGAGAGAGACGUAUACCUAGUCUUCCACUAAACUGGCACAUUCAGCGAACAUAGCAUAGCUAGACUGACAUAGUACAUGUUUGACAUCUAAGUACUAAGAAGAGACCAUGUAGACCCACAGAGCCUUGAGGAAACAGGUUCUACUCCCUAACUUCAAACUAAAAAUCAAAGACUGUGGUCUCUGUCUUCCAUUCGCAAUCAUGAUUUGAAUUUUGGCACACACAGCACCUCUGGAUAUUGCUUAGCUGAUGUGCACCACCUCACCUCACAGAUCAUUAUGUAAUGAGAGGAGACACUGAGGUACUUAGUGCUGGAGUCACUGGGGGUACUUAGUGCUGUGGGCAUCUAGUCAGAUGCUGCACCUAAGGAUGUUGUUAAACUGCUUCAACCCUCAUAUCUGUCCAAGAUUCAAAAAAGAUUCUCAUCCCUGUCAAAAACUCUACUUACGAAGAGCCUAUGACCAGAAACUCAGUAUGGAAAGCUGAUGUUUUGGAGGACAUAUGAGUCCCUAGGAAGAGAGAUUUGUUUUUGGAACAGGGAAGAAAUGAAGGGAGAUUACUAUGAUCUUAAGAGAAUGCCUGCAAUUUACUGAAAACCACCAGAGCACAACAAAGAGAACCCCAGUUCUAGGAGUUGAACAACCUCAGAGUCAUGUACAUCUCCAUAUGUUCUAUUUGACCAAACUCAGGGCCAUUCAUGCUUGGUGUGACAUUUUCUUUUAUUCUUUUAUUCAAAAGCUAAGGAUCCUUGUCAGUGAGGCUAUAUGGGUUAUUUCCUGAUGACAGCUCUCCAAUUUAUUAUUUCUUCUUCUUACCCAAUAUAAUGAACAAUUUCAGGGACCCAAGCCAUGCUUAAUCACACUGACACCAGGUGGUCCACCAUCCUCUGGUGAAUGUGUAGCUACAGGAAGGCCUACCUCUCCCCCAUAUAACUCAGUAAAUUUGGUCACCCAUCAGAGACAAUCCUGUAUCUGUCUGAGAAUAGAUUUGGAAGUCUAGAUACUCACCAGUUCAGAUACACCCUGCUUUCCUGGCACCUUUUCUUCCCUUGUGAGCUGUAGUAUGUGUGUACAAGGCUAAAGAAGUAAUUGUGCUAUUAAUGAAAUUCCUUAUUUAUAUUACCACCUUUGGUCUUCAUGUGUUUGGAUUUCGAGGAAAAGCAUGUGUGUGCAUUGCCAGAAAUCUGAUUAAAAGUUGACUCCCUUGAGUUCCAUAGCUAUCAGCAAAGUAGAGAAUCUAUAUAGAAAAGCAGGAUGAGCAAGGAAAGUGUCCCAGGAAAGGAGACAGAAACUGUAGGUUUCUCACGUGAGAAAUUUAUGAUAGAGCACAAAGGCUGAUUUAACUUGUCCACAUUUAUCCUGGUUGGCUGCCAUUUUGAAGAGGUUUUUCCUCAGCCUCAUGUAAGUAGCCAAGGAAAAAUUGUUGAUUUCAGUGUUCUGCCCAAGAGCACUUAAGAUUUGGAAAUGGUCUUGGGGAAGGAGAGUGACAUCAUGGUGCCUACAUAUAUUCUAAGACAUAUAAGACAGGAAGACGUCAAAACCCAUCUUCUACCAUGCUGCCAUUCCAGCUCUCUAGCACACACACACACACACACACACACACACACACACACACACACACACACACACACACAUACAUUAGUCUAAAGACAGAAAAAAGACACUGAGGUUUUAAAUGUCCUUCAUAUAAUUUCAUGCAUAUCAUCUUUAUUUGUAACUGUAUUGAGACUUACCACAUUUGUUGCUCCAGCAGAGAAAGGUCCUUUAUUACAUAGACUCUGUUGUUCUGAGUGCCUAGGUAUCACAAGGUUCCCUCCUGUCACAAGAUAAGAUAAACAAGCAAUUAGGAAAGGAGAUCCUUUGCCUCUCUAAGAAUGAUUGUUAGUUUAUGUUAAUGUACGUGUUGCUAAAGUAAUGCCCAUUUUGCCUAAUUGAAUCUCCAUUAAAAAUUCCUAUAGAAAAAAAGCAAUGGCUUAAGCCUAUUUUUUAAUCAAAUUUUAAAUUUGUCACUGGGCAAUGCAGGUUGUGGCUACCAUCCUGCUUCACUCACUGAACUGCAGGCAUAAAAGCCUGGACCUCCAUGGCCCCCCAAGUGCUCAGGUAGCAUGUCUGAACAAGCAUUCCUGGCAGUCAUACUACUUUUAGAAAUUUUUUCUGGGGGACCAUAGCAGGGAAUACUGUCCCUAGGUCCUAGACAUGACACCCAGUCCCAUUGCUCUGUUCUGAAGGUUCCAUUCUAACAAUAAACCCCAGGUCCAUGAGGGUUAUACUCUCAUUCCUGAGUAGGACACAGCUGCCUGCCCAGGCAGGUCAGCAAGGACAACCCUGUUCAUGGAAGUUUGGCAGAUUUGGCAGCAGCUUUUCCUUACUUCCCAACACUGCCUUUGAACAGUGUUAAAAUUCAGAUGCUAAUGUGGAAGCUGGCUGUAAGCUGGGUGCCUCAGUAAGGAAUCUUGGAUCUAAGGGCUCCUGUGUUCACCUCAAGUCUCUUGUCUGGUACUCUGGACGACCUCUCAUGGAUGACCUGGGUGUUUUCUCUACACUGUGCUCUCCUAAACACUCAGCCACCAAAUGAGACCAGACAGCAGCUUGUUAGUUACUAUGGAAUGUGAAGAUCCAGUUAUGAAAGAGGAAAUGCUCUGUCCAGAAUCAUAAGCUCAGAUAUCUCAGGGCCAAAACUGAUGCUAGGCCACCAGAUUCUAGUUCAGUACUUUUCCUCAUGCUUACACCCUGUCUGACUUUCUCAAAAUAUAUGGGAAAAUUCAAGGAAAGAAUGUUUAAAUGUCAGACUUUGUGAGGUGUGUAAUAUGAAAACAGUUUUAAGAAUCAGAUAGUUAAGGACACUGUCAGAUUUUAUGAACAAAAACCCACAUGUGUUGGACUAGUUUUGUCCUCAUCAUAAGGACCCCACGAUGAUUCAGGUGUGCACUGGCUAGGAGGUAGACUAAUAUCAUAAAGCUGUACUGGUUGCCCUAGCUCAAGAAUUCCUGGGUAGGGGGGACUCAGAUAAAUUAGAGAUGUACAACUGAGUCUUACUGAAUUCCUGUCUUUGCUUUGUAGUCUCAUAAUUCCUUAUGGUUAUGAUUAUUGAACUGUGUCUUGUGAAGUAAAUGACUAUGAAGCUUGGAAAUCAGCUUUAGCUUGAUGUCCAAUCCCACAGAGACUAGUUCACCAUGAUUUCCCUAGUUCAUGUCCUUUCUGAAAGUCAGAGGGAAAGUAAGCCCCAGCACAAUCUCAGCCCUUUGGGACAUGUCACCAACAUGUGCUCAGAAAGAACUGUAUUUUUUUCAGUAAUUUUGACUUCACAGCCAGAACUGGCCUGUAAUUCAUAAUUUAUCUUAAGGUUCAAUGAACCAGCGCCAGUCCUUCUGUCUCAGCCACUUGGAUACUGGAGUUUUACCAUUGAGUCCAGAGACUGCACUAAGAAUUGGUACUACUGUGUAUUCAUCCAAUGAUCAUUUUCAAAAUUGUCAAGCAUCACCAGUGUUCAGGGACUAAGAACACCAAAUUUAAACACCAAGGGUGUUUUCCUGAUAAGCUGGUCCUGCUAGUCAUGCCCUGUCCCAGCCUCAGAUCCUUCCUGGUCUAUUGGUCUAUUGACUUAUAUGUCCAUUAAGUCCUUCUCUAUUUGCCAAAUACUAAGCAAUUUCUAUCCCUCGUGUCUUUUUAUAUUUAUUUUUUAAUAUCAUUUGGCUGACUUUGGGAUUCUAUACUGAGCUUCCUGUGUUUCAUGCUUAACACCUCCAUGUUCUAUGUUCUCCUUUCAUCUAUUCUUCUAUAAUCUCUCCUCCCCAACCCCUGCACCAUAUUUUUAAAUUUUCUUCAGGAUCUCCAGGCACAGUUGGUCUGGUCUUUUGAUAAAUGGCCCCUAGCUUGCCUUCUCAAGAACAUUAGGUUUUUUUACUGUCCUGUGAAUCCACCCUUCUAUCUUAGUGGUCUUUAGACAGAAGAUUCCUGAUACCCCGAAAUUUAAUUUUAAAUUUUAUUGGUUUCAUUUUAUUUCUCAGUAAUCGUCUUAUACGCCCAGACUGGCUCUAAAGUUACUUUCCAACAGAAACUCUUCUGUUCUCCUUGGAUUUCACGGCUCUGGUUUCCAAGGGCUGGCAUUACAGAUGAAUGUCACCAUAUCCUAGCUAAUCACAUUUGGGGUUUGUUUGUAAUGUCAGUCAAGGAUGUGAGGUUAUCUGUAAGCCAUUUACUAAAACUUGGUGUGGCAUCCUGCUCCAUCAAUAAGGUACCCAUCUUUAACCCAGUGUGUAGCACCAGGGAGAGCACAAUUGUUCCUGUGCCCUUGACUAUAACAAACUAUCCUCUGUCAGGGAAAGAAGACCUUCUUCUAUCAGAUACUUUCAGAGAACACAAAUGUGCAACAAUGGAGGAGAAAGGUACAUCUACCCAGUUGGCAAAGUCUAGUCAAUUUUAGCUGCUGAUUGAGCAGUGGCAGAUGUCUUAUUGAAACUCCUCACCUCAACAUUACUCUUGAAUAACCCCAACUGUGAAGUACUAUUGCGGAAAAGUCUGUGGAGGCUGUCAACAGAAGAGAAGCAUCUUGGCCUUCGGUUCUCAUGUGUCUAUAUCCAGUUAUCUCUCUGCAUCAGUUGAAUUAGUCCCAUAAACCAUUUGGGGGGCUGAAAACCCAUCUUUAAAUUUUGUUUCCUAAAGCCUUAGGCAUGCCUCUUUAGUACUAUGACACUCUAUUUUAGAUGUCUCUAACACCAUAGGAAAAGAUGCUACAAUCAUAUGGCCUGCUAUAUGAACAACUUUGCUAUCUAAAUUGUAGGGAAAUCACCUUAUCUCUUAAUUUUUCUACCCAUUUUGAGACAGGCUAGAUUAGUCACUUAGUCAUAUACUCCAUAUUUGCUAUAUUUGACAAGCUAUUAUUGGAAAAUAUAUACAGUUUGAACUAGUUAAAUCAAUUUUCUACUUUGCAUAGCUUACUUUGUUGGAAAUUAGAAUUCCUAAUCAUAUAUGAAAUUGAAGAUGAAGAGAAGAAACCCUGCGUGGUGAGACCUGAUUUUUAAUUUGUCUCUCAGAAGGUGAAGCAGGUAGAUCAACCCAAGUUUGAGACUGUCUUGGCAGGAUAGUGGGACUGUGUCUCAAAGCUAAUGACAGCAAAGCCAAGUGAAAUAAUUAAAGGGAAGAGGCCAUGAUUAAAUGUUGAAGUUACAUGUCUGUGGAAAGGUCUUGGUGUCUGAGAUGCUGGCCUCAGAAGCUGCAUUCCCUUGCAGAUGGACACCAUGUCAUUAUGGAAGGGAAACACAAUAAGAAACUGAUACUAAAUGCCUUCCUCAACUGCUCCCUAUCAGCAUCCAGUGGCUUCUUCAUCUUCAGAUAUUUUUGCAUCUUCAGGAUUAGCCCAUGUACAGCCAUGGUUGCUUGUUUCUCUCUCAUAUAUUCUUCAUUUUUUAUUUUAUUCUCAGUCUUCUUUUUUCAUUUGUCACCAUAUGCUCAAACAAUGACUUUUGAAAGGGCACAUCAUAACACUUUAAACAUUACAUGUCAAUGAUCUGAGAUUUAGUCUUGAAUUUCAGUAGGAAGUACAUUUCUCAACAGUCAUUCACAAAACAGAUUAGACAGUACUUUGGACCAACUGCCUUUUUAAUCAAAGACACGUGAGUACUUCAUUGCUUGUUGACAUUUCCGUGACCUGAGUAUGUGUUAUUCCUGACACCAUUACCCCAUUGCCAUCAUGUUCAUAAUCAGCCUGAAGCUACAUGCUUUCCAGAAGCAGUCUGUUCUGUACAGCUACUCAGAAAAUUAAUCUGUCUAUGACAAGUCUGCCUUGCUAAGGGUAAUGUCAGCAUAGGUAUUUUUCCCAAGAAGAGUGUAAGAACAGAGGCUUUCAGAGGCUGAUUCUUUAAAGCAAGUAAAUAUACAUACAAUUUAAGAGUCAAAUGCAGUAAAUUUCAUUUUCCCCAUAUUCAAAGGAACAGUAAAGUCAUUAAUUGAAUGUCUGUUAUAUUGCCUAACAAUGUUCAUUAUUUUCCUCAUUGCUAUGGAAAAGUGCAUGAUAAACUCAACUUAAGCAUGGAAGGUUUGUUUCCUCAUAAUCUGAGGGUAUAGUCUAGCAUGGACAAGAGAAGUCAGCAUGGCAGGCAGGAGUGUGAAUCAGCUGGUCACAUGGUACCCACAGUAAGGAAGCAGAGAGAGAAAGAGAAAUUGUUGUGCUCAGAUAUCUUUCAAUUGUUUAUUUAGUCAGGACCUUAGCCCAUGAGAUGACAUCAUCUAUAUUUAGGGUAGGUUUUCUCACGUCAAUUAAGCUAAUCUAUGAUUUUCCUUAUAGGCUGUGUACUGGCUUUUCCCCUAGCUGAUUCUAGAUCCUUUCAAGUUGACAGUCAAUAUGAAUCAUCAGAAAUAGUGACCAGACUAAAAUUUCCAAAUAUUGUAUUGGAAACAUGCAAUAAUUUUAUGGGAUUUUUUCAAAUAAACCUAAGAAUUUAAAAAGAUCAUAAGUUCAGUUGUCUUGGAACAGACAAAGCCUUGUACCUGAAUGUUCAGAUAAAAAUAAAAUAUGAUAACAGUUAA